rnacentral:rRNA from 1 species
GAUGAACGCUGGCGGCGUGCUUAACACAUGCAAGUCGAACGAAGCACUUUUACAGAUUUCUUCGGAAUGAAGUUUUAGUGACUGAGUGGCGGACGGGUGAGUAACGCGUGGGUAACCUGCCUCACACAGGGGGAUAACAGUUGGAAACGGCUGCUAAUACCGCAUAAGCGCACAGUACUGCAUGGUACGGUGUGAAAAACUCCGGUGGUGUGAGAUGGACCCGCGUCUGAUUAGCUAGUUGGCAGGGCAACGGCCUACCAAGGCGACGAUCAGUAACCGAACUGAGAGGGUGACCGGCCACAUUGGGACAGAGACACGGCCCAAACUCCUACGGGAGGCAGCAGUGGGGAAUAUUGCACAAUGGGGGAAACCCCGAUGCAGCGACGCCGCGUGAGCGAAGAAGUAUUUCGGUAUGUAAAGCUCUAUCAGCAGGGAAGAAGAAAUGACGGUACCUGACUAAGAAGCACCGGCUAAAUACAUGCCAGCCGCCGCGGUAA